CCAGGACCUGCCCCUGAUGCGACUGAUCGGUAAAAUGUCAGAAGAAACUUUCUUUGCAGACAGCGAAGUUUUAAAAGGUUUUAGGUUCUGGGUCAGGAGAGCUGGUUUAUUUCUGGAAUAACUUCAAGAAGAGCUGUGCAGGCCCAUAUAGAUGUUGUUUUGUGACUGUGAAUCAGAGGAAAGGAUGACACCCUUCUGGAGGCCCACAUGCCGACGCUACUUCACAAAUUAAAAGCCGGAAACAAUGAGUCAAAGCUUUCCGGGGUCUCUUAUGACGAGCCAUAGAGGGACUCAUCAGGAUUGACCCAGGCUAAAGCAACGAUGAAACAAUGAAAUCGUGUUUGAAAUGGUGACUAUUGCUAUUACAAUAUGCGUUUUGCAAUUGACUGUCAUUACCUUUUUAUUUUUUGUAUUACUUUGUUCAUGUUUCACUGGUACACUUGGCCAGUAAACUUGUGUUUUUGUCUUUUAAAGCAGCUUUGCCUGUAAUAAUAGUUCUGUAGGGUUCAACAUCAUAUAUGAUCUUAUGGCGCCCCCUGGUGGCCAAACGCUUUCAGCAUACAGGAUUGUUUCAUUUGUUUUCAUUGAAUCUGUGGUUCAUGUGAGGGCUCAGGAGCCCAGCAAAUGCCAUUUUGCUCUCCACAAUGUUAAGUUUACUCUGAUUUUGUUUAUAAAAAUGAUUCUUCGAAAUUUCUCUCCAAUAUUAUUCUGGCUAGUUGUAAAUGCAAAUGUUGUUCAGACUGUUUCAGGUCUCCUCCGAGAUCACAAUGCGCUUCUUCCAUUAAGAUUAAUGUUGUUUUUACCCAGCAAAUGGGUGAAAAGUGUGUACUAUUAGUCAGUAUUGAUGUUUUAUUUUGAUCAUCAUUUGAUCUUGGUAAACUACAGAAUCUCAAGCACCGUGUGAGUUGUGGAUGCGUGUUAGUUUUUCAAUGCUUUAAUUAUUCCUUUUCUCUGUCCACACAGCUAAUAUAGGGCUGAUGGGAGAACAACAGGAGGAGUUGCAGUCAGAAGUCAGUCGGUACAAACGCUCUGCGAGAGUCUCUGAUGUGCAGCAGACCAUCAAUCACCAGCUUCUGUUGUUCAUCAGGUGAAAUAAACAUACAUGUCACUUCUAAUGUCAUUUGAAUCCUGUAAAAGAAGUGUAAGCUCUUUGAAAUAGCUGAUUUGAAAAUGUUCUGGUGGAGACUUAUUUAGAUCUGAUGGUUUUAGGGAUUGUUUUGAUAACUUAAACUAUAAAUAAAAUAAAAUUUCAUUGGGUGCACAAAGUAUAAAACAGGGUCUUUAUAGCCUCUAGUGGUAGACAGAUGCAUUACAACUAACGUCAUUACAUCAUAAGAGCUUGCAGACACACAUCAGUCUUAUUAAAAUAACAAUGUUAAAAACAGCCUUUAUAAAAAUGUUAAUUAUUUCAUUAAUUAAAUUCUGUGCAUUGUUUCAUGAAUCAUUUAGAUGAUGAACAUAUUUAGUUUAGUUUAAAAGAAAAGAAAGUGUUGUGCUUUAGAGAAUCUCGUGGCAGACAAUGGCAUUACAUCUAAUCUUACUAUCGGCCAUAAAAAUUAAAAUGAAUAAUAGCAAAAUGAAUAGAUCAUACAUAUCGU